UGACCACAUCACAUUGAAGCACCAGUUCCCAUACAAUCACCAAAGUUAAACAAUGUUGAGCUUGGUCAGUACCAAGAUGGAUGACCACUUGGAAGUACCAGGUAGUGU